rnacentral:rRNA from 1 species
CCCCUAGAUGUUCUGGGCCGCACGCGCGCUACACUGAACAGUUCAACAAGUCUUAACCUUGGCCGAUAGGUCUGGGUAAUCUUUGAACGCUGUUCGUGAUUGGGAUAGACCUUUGCAAUUAUGGGUCUUCAACGAGGAAUUCCUAGUAAACGCAAGUCAUCAGCUUGCAUUGAUUACGUCCCUGCCCUUUGUACACACCGCCCGUCGCACCUACCGAUUGAAUGGUCCGGUGAAAUCUCGGGACGGCGGCUUGGUCGCUUGCGUCCGACUGCUGAAACUUGAUUAAACCAUAUCAUUUAGAGGAAGGUGAANUCGCAACA